GAUGAACGCUGGCGGCGUGCCUAAUACAUGCAAGUAGAACGCUGAAGGAGGAGCUUGCUCUUCUGGAUGAGUUGCGAACGGGUGAGUAACGCGUAGGUAACCUGCCUGGUAGCGGGGGAUAACUAUUGGAAACGAUAGCUAAUACCGCAUGACAACAGUUAUUGCAUGAUAACUGUUUAAAAGGGGCAACUGCUCCACUACCAGAUGGACCUGCGUUGUAUUAGCUAGUUGGUGAGGUAACGGCUCACCAAGGCGACGAUACAUAGCCGACCAGAGAGGGUGAUCGGCAACACUGGGCCUGAGACACGGCCCAGACUACUACGGGAGGCAGCAGUAGGGAAUCUUCGGCGAUGGAAGCAAGUGUGACCGAUCAACGCCGCGUGAGUGACGAAGGUUUUCGGAUCGUAAAGCUCUGUUGUAAGAGAGGAACGAGUGUGAGUGUGGAAAGUUAACACUGUGACGGUAUCUUAACAGAAAGGGACGGCUAACUACGUG
rnacentral:rRNA from 1 species